GAUGAACGCUGGCGGCGUGUCUAAGGCAUGCAAGUCGAACGGUAGCACAGAGGAGCUUGCUCCUCGGGUGACGAGUGGCGGACGGGUGAGUAAUGUCUGGGGAUCUGCCCGAUAGAGGGGGAUAACCACUGGUAACGGUGGCUAAUACCGCAUAACGUCGCAAGACCAAAGAGGGGGACCUUCGGGCCUCUCACUAUCGGAUGAACCCAGAUGGGAUUAGCUAGUAGGCGGGGUAACGGCCCACCUAGGCGACGAUCCCUAGCUGGUCUGAGAGGAUGACCAGCCACACUGGAACUGAGACACGGUCCAGACUCCUACGGGAGGCAGCAGUGGGGAAUAUUGCACAAUGGGCGCAAGCCUGAUGCAGCCAUGCCGCGUGUAUGAAGAAGGCCUUCGGGUUGUAAAGUACUUUCAGCGGGGAGGAAGGCGAUGUGGUUAAUAACCGCGUCGAUUGACGUUACCCGCAGAAGAAGCACCGGCUAACUCCGUGCCAGCCGCCGCGGUAA
rnacentral:rRNA from 1 species